rnacentral:tRNA from 1 species
GGCCGGUUAGCUCAGUUGGUUAGAGCGUGGUGCUAAUAACGCCAAGGUCACGGGUUCAAACCCCCGUACGGGCCA